AACGUAGGAGGCGAGCGUUAUCCGGAUUUACUGGGCGUAAAGCGCACGCAGGUGGCCUGGCAAGUUGGUUGUGAAAGCUACUGGCUUAACUGGUAGAGGCCAAUCGAGACUGCCGGGCUUGAGGUUGGGAGAGGGGUGUGGAAUUCCCGGUGUAGUGGUGGAAUGCGUAGAUAUCGGGAGGAACACCAGUGGCGAAAGCGGCACCCUGGCCCACACCUGACGCUGAGGUGCGAAAGCGUGGGGAGUAAAC
rnacentral:rRNA from 1 species